rnacentral:rRNA from 1 species
UACGUAGGGUGCAAGCGUUGUCCGGAAUUAUUGGGCGUAAAGAGCUCGUAGGCGGUCUGUCGCGUCGGACGUGAAAACCCAGGGCUCAACCCUGGGCCUGCGUUCGAUACGGGCAGACUAGAGUUCGGUAGGGGAGACUGGAAUUCCUGGUGUAGCGGUGAAAUGCGCAGAUAUCAGGAGGAACACCAGUGGCGAAGGCAGGCUCGCUGGGACGGUACUG